AAAAUAAUUAUACAGAUCACCAUAAUGUAGAAUCAGUGGGAGCCCUGAGCUUGUUUUCCUGCAACUAGAUGGUCUCAUCUGGGGCUGAUGGGAGACAGUGACAGAUCAUCAGGCAUUAGGUUCUCAUAAGGAGCAAGCAUGCCACAUGACCCCUCACAUACACAGUUCACAAUAGGGUUCACGAUCCUGUGAGAAUCUAAUGCCUGAGCUGACAGGAGGCGAGGCUCAGGCAGUCACGUGAGCAAUGGGAAGUGGUUGUAAAUACAGAUGAAGCUUUGCUCACUCACUGCUCACCUCCUGCGGGGCAGCCUGGUUCCUAACAGGCCACGGUCCGUGGCCGGGGGGUUGGGAACUCCUGGUGUAAUAGACUCAGGUGCUGUAGGUGGCCAUAUUGACUUUAAUACAAUGUCACACUUAAUUUUGAUGUAAUUUCACACAUACAGGAAAGUAGCAAGAAGAGGAAGAAGAGCUCCCGUGCGCCUCUGCCUGGGUCCAUCUGGCCUCAUUGCUGAUGUUUUAUGAUUCCUCGAAAGAUCUGAAGCUUCCUAGAUGAUGAUGAUGAUGAUGAUGAUGAUUAUGAGAGGUUCGAGAACACAAGGUGAGAUGUGCUGCUGUGUGGCCAGGGUCAUCGACACCAUCCUGACGAAGGCCAGCCUGUCUGCGGCAGCCAGAGGACAGACAGAAGAGCAGGGGUGGAGCAGAACCCCGUGCAUGGAGCAGGACCCGACCUCUGACCUCCCUCAGUCGGUCUGCAAAACAAGAGGCCAGGACGUCUGCUGUCAAAGGAGCCAAGCAGAAGGCACGAGUGUUUUCUGCCUUCCUAAUGAUGCAGCCAGAGUGCUGGGAGCCGACACAACCCCUUCACCAGCAUGGGGUCUGUGUCUGCCUUUGCUUUGGAACCUUAAACAUUUUUGUUUAUCAAGUAUUGGAUACCUACUAAAACACACUUGCAUACAUAUUUAAAGAUCUAGAUAAUACUGUAGCCCUCAUCAUCACCUUCUCUCUAUCCCCACCUGUUUAAGGAAAAGUUCAGGAGGCCCUUCCAGGCUCCCUGGCCCCUCCGUAAUCCCUGCCCCUCCCUCAUCUUUCCAGUAAACGCUGUCUUGAAUGUUGUGUUUGGCAUGCCUUGCUUUUCCUUAUGGUUUACUUCAGGUCUGUUAUUAAUGAAUAUGUUAUUCAGUUUUGCAUACCUUUACAUUUUAUAUAAUAGAACCACACUAAGUAUUUUUCUGCAACCUGUUUUCCAAAGUGUCAAUAUUAUUUUCCAAAAGUCCAUCCUUGUUGAUGAGUAUAGCUGGGUGUAGGGUCCAGCCCUCAGGGUCCUGUGAGCCCCUCUCUCCAGGUGUGGAGAUGAGAAACUGAAAAUAAAAGACACAAGACACCAAGAAAGAGAAAACAGUUUGGGCCCAGGGGUCCACUGCCAACCAGGGCAUGGAGUCUGGCAGUGGCCCCGAGUGCCUGGACACUCUGACUUUUAUUGAGUACAAAGCAGGGGCAGGGUAGGCAGGGUGAGGUAACGGUGGUCAGUGAUAGGGUCAGGUAAAUCACGUGUCUUGGGGACAGGGGCCCAGGUCUUUGAAGUAGCCAAGCGAGGAGAAAACCUAAUGCGUCAGCACUUUUUCAUACUUGUCAAGAGAGAACAAUGACGCUAAGAUUUAUGUUACUCUUACUGAUUUUAUCUUUUAAGAAAGGGAGGGACCAGGUGCAGAAGUGAAACAUGAAAAUAGACCUGGAACGUGACUGCUGAAGCACAGCCUCACAUAGGGACAGUUAAGCCCCCAGAUGUCUGUGGGCCUCCCUGACAGGCGCCAGGCCAGCUGCAAGAGCUUGGAGGAGUGGAGUUUUCUCCUAACUCCCCCAGGAAGGACAUGUCUCGGCCAUUUUGGACGUCUCCUUCCCUAGCUGGCUAAACAGGGGGCGCUUUCCCAGCACUGGCACUGCCAGCAGCCCUUAUGCGGGCGUGACAGAGGGCUUAGAGCAUCUUGCCUUAGGAUCACUUUGUUCACAAUGUCACCUCAGUUCCAUGCUUCAUAACCCGAUAGUCAUUAGUAAAAUUAAAGGUUAUAUUGAGUAUAUAUAUAUUUCUGUGGUUACAUAUGAAUAACGAUGUGAUUAUUCAGGAUUAUAUAUAGGAAUAACUGUGUAACUAUAUCUCUAAUUCUUUUCUAAUUCCGUAUUCAUAUGGGAACAUAAGGCUUCAGACCCUUGCCUCGGCACUUGCAGGGUCUCCCACAGGAUCUCUCACCCACACUGGGUUCCUUCUUUAUUUUAACCUAAUCUAUGGAAUGAAUAUACCAGCGUUUACCCAUCUGUUCUGCUGCCGUUGGUUAUUGGGGUUGGCUCCAUUUUCUUGCUCCUCCAACCAGUGUAGGUCUGGCCACACUCGCAGAAUUCCUGUGCAGAAGGCAGCAGUUGUUAAACGUUUUGUUCUCAG
rnacentral:lncRNA from 1 species